rnacentral:rRNA from 1 species
UACGUAGGGGGCUAGCGUUGCUCGGAAUUACUGGGCGUAAAGCGCACGUAGGCGGCUUUCUAAGUCGGGGGUGAAAUCCUGGAGCUCAACUCCAGAACUGCCUUCGAUACUGGAGAGCUUGAGUCCGGGAGAGGUGAGUGGAACUGCGAGUGUAGAGGUGAAAUUCGUAGAUAUUCGCAAGAACACCAGUGGCGAAGGCGGCUCACUGGCCCGGUACUGACGCUGAGGUGCGAAAGCGUGGGGAGCGAACAGG